ACACAUGCAAGUCGAGGGGCAGCAUGGUCUUAGCUUGCUAAGGCCGAUGGCGACCGGCGCACGGGUGAGUAACACGUAUCCAACCUGCCGUCUACUCUUGGACAGCCUUCUGAAAGGAAGAUUAAUACAAGAUGGCAUCAUGAGUCCGCAUGUUCACAUGAUUAAAGGUAUUCCGGUAGACGAUGGGGAUGCGUUCCAUUAGAUAGUAGGCGGGGUAACGGCCCACCUAGUCUUCGAUGGAUAGGGGUUCUGAGAGGAAGGUCCCCCACAUUGGAACUGAGACACGGUCCAAACUCCUACGGGAGGCAGCAGUGAGGAAUAUUGGUCAAUGGGCGAGAGCCUGAACCAGCCAAGUAGCGUGAAGGAUGACUGCCUUAUGGGUUGUAAACUUCUUUUAUAAAGGAAUAAAGUCGGGUAUGGAUACCCGUUUGCAUGUACUUUAUGAAUAAGGAUCGGCUAACUCCGUGCCAGCAGCCGCGGUAAUACGGAGGAUUCGAGCGUUAUCCGGAUUUAUUGGGUUUAAAGGGAGCGUAGAUGGAUGUUUAAGUCAGUUGUGAAAGUUUGCGGCUCAACCGUAAAAUUGCAGUUGAUACUGGAUAUCUUGAGUGCAGUUGAGGCAGGCGGAAUUCGUGGUGUAGCGGUGAAAUGCUUAGAUAUCACGAAGAACUCCGAUUGCGAAGGCAGCCUGCUAAGCUGCAACUGACAUUGAGGCUCGAAAGUGUGGGUAUCAAACAGGAUUAGAUACCCUGGUAGUCCACACGGUAAACGAUGAAUACUCGCUGUUUGCGAUAUACGGCAAGCGGCCAAGCGAAAGCGUUAAGUAUUCCACCUGGGGAGUACGCCGGCAACGGUGAAACUCAAAGGAAUUGACGGGGGCCCGCACAAGCGGAGGAACAUGUGGUUUAAUUCGAUGAUACGCGAGGAACCUUACCCGGGCUUAAAUUGCAGAUGAAUUACGGUGAAAGCCGUAAGCCGCAAGGCAUCUGUGAAGGUGCUGCAUGGUUGUCGUCAGCUCGUGCCGUGAGGUGUCGGCUUAAGUGCCAUAACGAGCGCAACCCUUGUUGUCAGUUACUAACAGGUUCUGCUGAGGACUCUGACAAGACUGCCAUCGUAAGAUGUGAGGAAGGUGGGGAUGACGUCAAAUCAGCACGGCCCUUACGUCCGGGGCUACACACGUGUUACAAUGGGGGGUACAGAGGGCCGCUACCACGCGAGUGGAUGCCAAUCCCAAAAACCUCUCUCAGUUCGGACUGGAGUCUGCAACCCGACUCCACGAAGCUGGAUUCGCUAGUAAUCGCACAUCAGCCACGGCGCGGUGAAUACGUUCCCGGGCCUUGUACACACCGCCCGUCAAGCCAUGGGAGCCGGGGGUACCUGAAGUGCGUAACCGCGAGGAGCGCCCUAGGGUAAAACUGGUGACUGGGGC
rnacentral:rRNA from 1 species